rnacentral:rRNA from 1 species
GACGUAGGGCGCGAGCGUUGUCCGGAUUUAUUGGGCGUAAAGAGCUCGUAGGCGGCUUGUCGCGUCGUUCGUGAAAACCCACGGCUCAACUGUGGGCUUGCGGUCGAUACGGGCAGGCUGGAGUUCGGUAGGGGAGACUGGAAUUCCUGGUGUAGCGGUGAAAUGCGCAGAUAUCAGGAGGAACACCGGUGGCGAAGGCGGGUCUCUGGGCCGAUACUGACGCUGAGGAGCGAAAGCGUGGGGAGCGAACAGG